GACGAACGCUGGCGGCGUGCUUAACACAUGCAAGUCGAACGGAAAGGCCCUGCUUUUGUGGGGUGCUCGAGUGGCGAACGGGUGAGUAACACGUGAGUAACCUGCCCUUGACUUUGGGAUAACUUCAGGCAACUGGGGCUAAUACCGGAUAGGAGCUCCUGCUGCAUGGUGGGGGUUGGAAAGUUUCGGCGGUUGGGGAUGGACUCGGGGCUUAUCAGCUUGUUGGUGGGGUAGUGGCUUACCAAGGCUUUGACGGGUAGCCGGCCUGAGAGGGUGACCGGCCACAUUGGGACUGAGAUACGGCCCAGACUCCUACGGGAGGCAGCAGUGGGGAAUAUUGCACAAUGGGCGGAAGCCUGAUGCAGCAACGCCGCGUGCGGGAUGACGGCCUUCGGGUUGUAAACCGCUUUCGCCUGUGACGAAGCGUGAGUGACGGUAAUGUGUAAAGAAGCACCGGCUAACUACGUG
rnacentral:rRNA from 1 species